AGUUUGAUCCUGGCUCAGAUUGAACGCUGGCGGCAUGCUUUACACAUGCAAGUCGAACGGUAACAGGGAGCUUGCUCCGCUGACGAGUGGCGAACGGGUGAGUAAUAUAUCGGAACGUACCCAGAAGUGGGGGAUAACGUAGCGAAAGUUACGCUAAUACCGCAUACGAUCUACGGAUGAAAGUGGGGGACCUUCGGGCCUCAUGCUUUUGGAGCGGCCGAUAUCUGAUUAGCUAGUUGGUGAGGUAAAGGCUCACCAAGGCGACGAUCAGUAGCUGGUCUGAGAGGACGACCAGCCACACUGGAACUGAGACACGGUCCAGACUCCUACGGGAGGCAGCAGUGGGGAAUUUUGGACAAUGGGCGCAAGCCUGAUCCAGCAAUGCCGCGUGAGUGAAGAAGGCCUUCGGGUUGUAAAGCUCUUUUGUCAGGGAAGAAACGGCUGUGGCUAAUAUCCACGGCUAAUGACGGUACCUGAAGAAUAAGCACCGGCUAACUACGUGCCAGCAGCCGCGGUAA
rnacentral:rRNA from 1 species